rnacentral:rRNA from 1 species
AUUGAACGCUGGCGGCAGGCCUAACACAUGCAAGUCGAGCGGAUGAAGGGAGCUUGCUCCUGGAUUCAGCGGCGGACGGGUGAGUAAUGCCUAGGAAUCUGCCUGGUAGUGGGGGAUAACGUCCGGAAACGGGCGCUAAUACCGCAUACGUCCUGAGGGAGAAAGUGGGGGAUCUUCGGACCUCACGCUAUCAGAUGAGCCUAGGUCGGAUUAGCUAGUUGGUGGGGUAAAGGCCUACCAAGGCGACGAUCCGUAACUGGUCUGAGAGGAUGAUCAGUCACACUGGAACUGAGACACGGUCCAGACUCCUACGGGAGGCAGCAGUGGGGAAUAUUGGACAGAGGGCGAAAGCCUGAUCCAGCCAUGCCGCGUGUGUGAAGAAGGUCUUCGGAUUGUAAAGCACGUUAAGUUGGGAGGAAGGGCAGUAAGUUAAUACCUUGCUGUUUUGACGUUACCAACAGAAUAAGCACCGGCUAACUUCGUG